GACGAACGCUGGCGGCGUGCCUAAUACAUGCAAGUUGAGCGCUGAAGGUUGGUACUUGUACCAACUGGAUGAGCAGCGAACGGGUGAGUAACGCGUGGGGAAUCUGCCUUUGAGCGGGGGACAACAUUUGGAAACGAACGCUAAUACCGCAUAAAAACUUUAAACACAAGUUUUAAGUUUGAAAGAUGCAAUUGCAUCACUCAAAGAUGAUCCCGCGUUGUAUUAGCUAGUUGGUGAGGUAAAGGCUCACCAAGGCGAUGAUACAUAGCCGACCUGAGAGGGGUGAUCGGCCACAUUGGAACGAGACAACGGCCCAAACCCCGACGGGAGGCAGGAGUAGGAAAUCUUCGGAAAUGGACGAAAGUCUGCCCGAGCAACGCCGGGUGAGUGAAGAGGGUUUUCGGAUCGUAAAACGUUGUUGGGAGGAAAGAACGGUGGGGAGAGGGAAAAGCUCAUCAAGGGACGGUAACCACCCAGAAAGGGAGGGCUAACUACG
rnacentral:rRNA from 1 species